UUCCCUAGUUAUGUUGCCUAGAAAAAUCAGGCACCUGUAGGUAUUUCAAGGCCGUUUCAAAAAAAAGUGAAAGGAUCCCACGGUCAGACAUCAUUGAGCUAGUUUCCAACAGUUAAAAAGGUCCCUUCUGCCUUCCAUAUCCAUCUCCAUUCAUAUUAUCCGUAAAUGCAUUGCUCUCUGUUGUAGUUAGUUUGAGUUACCAAGACUGAAGUACCAUUGUCCAUGCUUCUUCUUCACUUGCAGGACCAAUUCCAGAAGCUGGAGAUUGUAAUUGUGUAGAUGAUACGAUCUCCCUUGUUAACAAAAGCAACUCUUUUCUCUAGAGAGACAACUAAAAGGUUAGCUGAGGGAGGCUGUAUGAUUUUGUUGUAAUAUCAACUAGCGAAAGUCAAACAAACGUAUUAUCUCCAAUCCAAGAGAUAUAAAUAUGAAAAUUCUGAUGGCGAGAGGCUCAAAUCUGAAAGCAACAUUUGGUUUAGUUUUUGAUAAAGUCCACAAGGCAAAGGUGAGUAUGGAUGGAUUGUGUUAUAAUUUGGUCGGCCGUGUAACG
rnacentral:lncRNA from 1 species